rnacentral:rRNA from 1 species
GAUGAACGCUGGCGGCGUGCCUAAUACAUGCAAGUCGAGCGAACGGACGAGAAGCUUGCUUCUCUGAUGUUAGCGGCGGACGGGUGAGUAACACGUGGAUAACCUGCCUAUAAGACUGGGAUAACUUCGGGAAACCGGAGCUAAUACCGGAUGAUAUUUUGAACCGCAUGGUUCAAAAGUGAAAGACGGUCUUGCUGUCACUUAUAGAUGGAUCCGCGCUGCAUUAGCUAGUUGGUAAGGUAACGGCUUACCAAGGCAACGAUGCAUAGCCGACCUGAGAGGGUGAUCGGCCACACUGGAACUGAGACACGGUCCAGACUCCUACGGGAGGCAGCAGUAGGGAAUCUUCCGCAAUGGGCGAAAGCCUGACGGAGCAACGCCGCGUGAGUGAUGAAGGUCUUCGGAUCGUAAAACUCUGUUAUUAGGGAAGAACAUAUGUGUAAGUAACUGUGCACAUCUUGACGGUACCUAAUCAGAAAGCCACGGCUAACUACGUG